rnacentral:rRNA from 1 species
GUGCCAGCCGCCGCGGUAAUACGUAGGGGGCAAGCGUUGUCCGGAUUCAUUGGGCGUAAAGAGCGUGUAGGCGGCCAGGUAGGUCCGUUGUGAAAACUCGAGGCUCAACCUCGAGACGUCGAUGGAAACCAUCUGGCUAGAGUCCGGAAGAGGAGAGUGGAAUUCCUGGUGUAGCGGUGAAAUGCGCAGAUAUCAGGAAGAACACCUAUGGCGAAGGCAGCUCUCUGGGACGGUACUGACGCUGAGACGCGAAAGCGUGGGGAGCGAACAGGAUUAGAAACCCUCGUAGUCC